CACACCUGUUCUCAUUUCGAACACAGCAGUUAAGUCCUCCAGCGCCGAUUGUACUGCAGGGGCAGCCUUGUGGGAGAGUAGGUCACUGCCAGAA
rnacentral:rRNA from 1 species